rnacentral:rRNA from 1 species
AUCGUCAAUAGCGUAACGGCUGAACCAGCAACUUGAAGGAAUGUAUAGCGAAAGCUAAUUGUGUUUAACUUAGCGAAAGCUAAGUUGGUGCAAUAUUGACUAUGUCAAAUAAAGUUCUAGGUAGAAUUAUGAUGAUGACAUUGUUUAUCUAUGUGUCUUGACCAAAUUACGUGCCAGCAGUCGCGGUAACACGUAAAAGACUAGUGUUACUCAUCUUUAAUAGGUUUAAAGGGUACCUAGACUGCCAAUCAAGCCCCCAAAAGGGUACUAAUUGGCUAGAGUUUAAUAUAAGGAGGCAUGAAAGUACUGAGAAUGUUGAGAGAUGAAAUUCUGUGAUACUAUAUAUGGCACUGGUAAAGGCGAAAGCAUCUUAUUAUGUAAUAACUGACGUUGAGGGACGAAGGCUGUGUAUAGCAAAAAGGAUUAGAUACCCAAGUAGUCUCAGCAGAAAAUGAUGAAUGUCAUAGGAUAGAUGAAUUUUGUACUAUAAAUGAAAGUGUAAGCAUUCCACCUUAAGAGUAAUUUGGCAACAUUGGAACUGAAAUCAUUAGACCGUUUCUGAAACAAGUAGUGAAGUAUGUUGUUUAAUUUGAUGGUCCGCAAAAAACCUUACCACAAUUUGUAUGUAAAAUUUUUUAUACAAGCGCUGCACGGUUGUCUUCAGUUAAUGUCGUGAGAUUGUGGUUAGUUCCAUUAAAUUAACGUAAACCCAUACUUUAUUUUUAUAUAGAGUAGUUCACCGCUAGAUUGGAUGUGAUAAUAGGGACUAAGACGAGUCAUCAUGGCCUUAAUAUUGUGGGCUAUAGACGUGCCACAUAUGCCUUUACARAAGGGAUGCG